GAUGAACGCUGGCGGCGUGCCUAAUACAUGCAAGUCGAGCGAACGGACGAGAAGCUUGCUUCUCUGAUGUUAGCGGCGGACGGGUGAGUAACACGUGGAUAACCUACCUAUAAGACUGGGAUAACUUCGGGAAACCGGAGCUAAUACCGGAUAAUAUUUUGAACCGCAUGGUUCAAAAGUGAAAGACGGUCUUGCUGUCACUUAUAGAUGGAUCCGCGCUGCAUUAGCUAGUUGGUAAGGUAACGGCUUACCAAGGCAACGAUGCAUAGCCGACCUGAGAGGGUGAUCUGCCACACUGGAACUGAGACACGGUCCAGACUCCUACGGGAGGCAGCAGUAGGGAAUCUUCCGCAAAGGGCGAAAGCCUGACGGAGCAACGCCGCGUGAGUGAUGAAGGUCUUCGGAUCGUAAAACUCUGUUAUUAGGGAAGAACAUAUGUGUAAGUAACUGUGCACAUCUUGACGGUACCUAAUCAGAAAGCCACGGCUAACUACGUG
rnacentral:rRNA from 1 species